AAGCGCACUAACCCCAAUUUUUCCCUCUUUUUUUCCCAAAUCCCUCCCUCACUUCCAUUUGGACCGUAGGGCUUUUUAGCUUUCAAAGUUGAGGAAUAGCUUUCCCAACUUGGGUUCACGCUUGGACCGUCACUAAUGUAAAUUUUUGCUUUCUUCCCCAUUCUAUGAAAGAGAUUUACAACGCUGAGUUUGAUUGUGGGUUCAGAUCUAUAUUUUCGAUUUUCUACUGAGAGUAACAAAUUUUUUUGUUGAAUCGGUGUAUUUUGAAGAAGGAUAGAACACUCUCUUUUAAAUUAGAGAUAACUCUUGAGGACCUUCAGAGAAGACGCAAUUGUCACUAGCUACUAUUCCUCUUUCUGCUCUACAUGGUGUUUGAAUCAAUCUCAUGAUGAAAUCCUAGCUGGUGUUGAUGUAAGUAAGAUUUCCAUGCCUGAAGAGGAAUAUCUGAAUGGACCAGGGGAGACUUACUCUAUCACU